rnacentral:rRNA from 1 species
UACGUAGGGUGCAAGCGUUAAUCGGAAUUACUGGGCGUAAAGUGUGCGCAGGCGGCAUUGCAAGUCGAGUGUGAAAGCCCCGGGCUUAACUUGGGAAUUGCGCUCGAAACUAGCGGGCUUGAGUGUGGCAGAGGGGGGUGGAAUUCCACGUGUAGCAGUGAAAUGCGUAGAGAUGUGGAGGAACACCGAUGGCGAAGGCAGCCCCCUGGGUCAACACUGACGCUCAUGCACGAAAGCGUGGGGAGCAAACAGG